CAGCAGCCGCGGUAAUUCGGAGGAUGCAAGCGUUAUCCGGAUUCAUUGGGUUUAAAGGGUGCGCAGGCGGAGUGAUAAGUCAGUGGUGAAAGCCUACAGCUUAACUGUAGAACUGCCAUUGAUACUGUCAUUCUUGAGUAUUGUUGAGGUAGGCGGAAUGUGUCAUGUAGCGGUGAAAUGCUUAGAUAUGACACAGAACACCGAUCGCGAAGGCAGCUUACCAAGCAAUAACUGACGCUCAUGCACGAAAGCGUGGGGAUCAAACAGGAUUAGAUACCCUGGUAGUCCACGCCGUAAACGAUGAUCACUCGAUGUUGGCGAUACACAGUCAGCGUCUUAGGGAAACUAUUAAGUGAUCCACCUGGGGAGUACGGUCGCAAGAUUGAAACUUAAAGGAAUUGACGG
rnacentral:rRNA from 1 species